CCUCAGGGAGCCCAGCUGCAGAACCAGCAGUCUUUUGGACCUUGCUCUCUAGAGAUCAAGCAGUUUCUGGAGUGUGCUCAGAACCAGAGCGAUGUCAAACUCUGUGAGGGUUUCAAUGAGGUGCUGCGGCAGUGCAGGAUUGCAAAUGGUUUAAUCUAAUCAAGGAAUUCAAGCUGAAGAGAUGUAAAAUUGGUUCUGUGUAGUUGAUAGUACAAGUGGCUCCAUUGCUUUGGAAUGGCCAUGAAAGGUAUAACUAUGGAUGCUUACUGAGGCUUGUAUGUAGUGUUGGUUACUGGGCAAGUGUUUGGCCUCCUUGAACUAUGUUGUGAUUGUGAGUUAAAAAAAAAAAUAAAUUGGUUUAUUCUGAA